rnacentral:rRNA from 1 species
UGGGGAAUUUUCCGCAAUGGGCGCAAGCCUGACGGAGCAAUACCGCGUGAGGGAGGAAGGCUUUUGGGUUGUAAACCUCUUUUCUUGGGAAAGAAGUACUGACGGUACCCAAGGAAUCAGCAUCGGCUAACUCCGUGCCAGCAGCCGCGGUAAUACGGAGGAUGCAAGCGUUAUCCGGAAUUAUUGGGCGUAAAGGGUCCGCAGGUGGUCACUCAAGUCUGCUGUCAAAGGCGGGGGCUUAACUCCCGAAAGGCAGUGGAAACUGGGAGACUAGAGUACGGUAGGGGUAGAGGGAAUUCCCAGUGUAGCGGUGAAAUGCGUAGAGAUUGGGAAGAACACCAGUGGCGAAGGCGCUCUACUGGGCCGAAACUGACACUGAGGGACGAAAGCUAGGGGAGCGAAAGGGAUUAGAUACCCCUGUAGU